UACGUAGGGUGCGAGCGUUGUCCGGACUUAUUGGGCGUAAAGGGCUCGUAGGCGGUUUGUCGCGUCGGGAGUGAAAACCAUGGGCUUAACUCAUGGCUUGCUUCCGAUACGGGCAGACUAGAGGCAUGCAGGGGAGAACGGAAUUCCUGGUGUAGCGGUGAAAUGCGCAGAUAUCAGGAGGAACACCGGUGGCGAAGGCGGUUCUCUGGGCAUGUCCUGACGCUGAGGAGCGAAAGUGUGGGGAGCGAACAGG
rnacentral:rRNA from 1 species